rnacentral:rRNA from 1 species
UAACAGGAUUAGAUACCCUGGUAGUCCACGCCGUAAACGAUGAUAACUAGCUGUCCGGGCACAUGGUGCCUGGGUGGCGCAGCUAACGCAUUAAGUUAUCCGCCUGGGGAGUACGGUCGCAAGAUUAAAACUCAAAGGAAUUGACGGGGGCCUGCACAAGCGGUGGAGCAUGUGGUUUAAUUCGAUGCAACGCGCAGAACCUUACCAGCGUUUGACAUCCUACGCUAUCCAGAGAGAUUUGGAGUUCCCUUCGGGGACGUAGAGACAGGUGCUGCAUGGCUGUCGUCAGCUCGUGUCGUGAGAUGUUGGGUUAAGUCCCGCAACGAGCGCAACCCUCGUCCUUAGUUGCCAUCAUACAGUUGGGCACUCUAAGGAAACCGCCGGUGAUAAGCCGGAGGAAGGUGGGGAUGACGUCAAGUCCUCAUGGCCCUUACACGCUGGGCUACACACGUGCUACAAUGGCGGUGACAGUGGGAUAAUCCCCAAAAGCCGUCUCAGUUCGGAUUGUCCUCUGCAACUCGAGGGCAUGAAGGCGGAAUCGCUAGUAAUCGCGGAUCAGCAUGCCGCGGUGAAUACGUUCCCAGGCCUUGUACACACCGCCCGUCACACCAUGGGAGUUGGUUUCACCCGAAGGCAGUGCGCUAACCGCAAGGAGGCAGCUGACCACGGUGGGAUCAGCGACUGGGGUGAAGUCGUAACAAGGUAGCCGUA